UUAACAAGCUGUUGGUGUCUCUGAAGGCGCCCGGUGUAAAGAAUACCAAAUGUCAAGUAUUUUGAUAAACUAUCGUAUAGGUCUACACGUAUCAAUGUGUAAUUUAAACAUGCAUGUUAAAUAGAGACUCUGCUAAGUCGUUAGUUUUCUCUGGCUGAUUCAGGAAAACUAUUCCAUGCUCUGAGUCUAAUGGCACUAGCUUUCUCACUACGCUAUGAUCCUUUCACCUGACUUCGAACUCGAGAGCUAAGGUCUCCUGAACCUCCUCCAGACAUUACGGGAACCACUGGGCCAGGGAAAGUUUUAUGAAAUUUACGAGAUCUAAACUGGAUGGACAGACAUUUCACACAAAACUAACAUCGUCUUUUCCGCUUUUGAAGGCCUCUGAAAAAUAGAAACAAUGUUACAGAAACAGUUUGUGUGGAAAUAAAAACUCAAAAUCGGCCUCCGAAGUGGUCCACCCAGGCAGAUAUCUGGUGUCUGAUGUCUGCAGGCAGAGGAAUUUGUUGUCAGGUUUAAUGAUUUUCUAAAAACUAAGAAGCGGCUUUGUUUCAGGUCAGAGAAAUCCCAGUUGGCAACAUUUCAGUCGGUCUUCAACCUACACUCGGUAUUUCAUACUGACUUUUUACUUUUGACAACAAAAGUAACUAGGUCAACGAAUGAACAUUAUUAUAAUAGAACCAACAACGAUUUCUAGAUAGUAAAACCAAAGCUUUUUAUUUUAUAAUUAUAAGACUUUAACUCUUUCUCUCCGUUAUUAUUUGUCCACGUUUUGAAGGAAUUCUACAUUUUGCUCAUUACUAUUUCACUACCCUGUUAUGAUUAAGCUUCAAUAGUUUGGGCUUUGUUAUCAGAAAAUGUUGUAUUUGAUAUAGAAUUAAAGGAAAAUGCAUGCUCUUUUUAUGUAAUACAAAGUCAAGUUUAUAAAAUUAAACAUUAAUUUAAUUUAAUGAGGUCAAAUCCACGUUGGUAUCGUUGGUUAGGAGAGAAAGAGUUUAAAAAAAUAGAAUGACGUACUUUGUCAUAAUAACUAAAAAAUAUUUUUUUAGACUUGUUCAGACAAAAUAUGAUUGAAUGUCAUCAUUAAACAAAUGGGAUUCCAUAAGUAGUUCAUUAGACCUUUACAUCAUCUGCCUUGUAGAUCGCAGACUCUGAAAGGGGAAGUUUACUUUUUAAUUCGCUAAGCCUUCUAAUAAAACUAAAUAUUUUAUUUAUAUAAAUCAGAUCAGAUUAGAUCAAAUACUUUUAUUGGCCCAAACAAAUGGAAAUGAAGUUUGACUAGGGUUGUCCAAUUCAGCAUUACUACUAUAACAAUAACAACAUAGAUGUCAGCACGAACAACAUUCACACACGUUACAUCACACACACACACACAUACACAUCAUAAACAUACACACAACCAGCGCUUUAUGAAUAGCCUUCUAUCUACGUCUCGGUGACGACAUUGACCUUGAAACUAUCAGAGUGAAAGUGAGAUAAACGAGUUUAGACAUUUUUCUGUUCUAGCCU